rnacentral:lncRNA from 1 species
GUAACAUAGAGUGUGACAAUUAAACUUCUGCAGGACAAUAACGAAACAGGAUUAUUGGUGUAGCCUUAAAUUGAUUUGUUCCUUGAAUUUGUAUUUGUCUAUGACUACCUUUUUCAGAAUUAAUCGUCCAUAUGACUUCCAAAGUUUAAAUAGAGAAAUGUUAAAUCACAUAAGACAUCAUAAAAGUGCGAACAUUGAAGAUCCCUCCGGUUCUUGAUACUUUAAACUUUGAAACCAAAGUUUGUUUUGCGUUCUAGCUGUUCCGUAAAUACAUCUGAUUUUAAUAUAAUCGUAUUGUUAUAAUAUACGGUAUAUAUAGAUACUUUAAUAAGUAAAAGUAAUGAACAGUGAUAAAAAUUGACGCCAUCUAAAUUAUUAAUUAUGUUACCACAUGGAACAAGGUCGGUUGUGCUAUUUGUAAUAAAAAACGUACUUUUAUAAGGAUUGAUUUAAUUUGUCCUGGUUAGAUUCAAAUACCAAACAAGUCCCAACGGCUUUGGAAAUAGAAUACAGAUUAAUUAUUAAGCACUAAAUAAUAAUACGCUUCCGUACUUACUAGUGUCAGCCUUGGAAUAUAUCUUUAUGAGUAUAUAAUAUCCACAACAAGCUGAAUAAUCAUAAAAGUACAAGCGGCAUUAUAUUUUAACUCGUAAAAACUAAGAUGACAACGGACUCCGAAUAUAAUUAUAUGUUUUAUAACGUUUUAUGUAUCCGUUCGUUUUAGCGAAUAUACACAACACAACGAAAAAAUGUUAUCGAUGAUCGACUCACCCUGUUAUAAAACACUAAAGGGACAGUAAAACAGGAAAUAAGAAACGCCAGCAGCUCAGAA